rnacentral:rRNA from 1 species
ACGCUAGCUACAGGCUUAACACAUGCAAGUCGAGGGGCAGCAUGGUCUUAGCUUGCUAAGGCCGAUGGCGACCGGCGCACGGGUGAGUAACACGUAUCCAACCUGCCGUCUACUCUUGGACAGCCUUCUGAAAGGAAGAUUAAUACAAGAUGGCAUCAUGAGUCCGCAUGUUCACAUGAUUAAAGGUAUUCCGGUAGACGAUGGGGAUGCGUUCCAUUAGAUAGUAGGCGGGGUAACGGCCCACCUAGUCUUCGAUGGAUAGGGGUUCUGAGAGGAAGGUCCCCCACAUUGGAACUGAGACACGGUCCAAACUCCUACGGGAGGCAGCAGUGAGGAAUAUUGGUCAAUGGGCGAGAGCCUGAACCAGCCAAGUAGCGUGAAGGAUGACUGCCCUAUGGGUUGUAAACUUCUUUUAUAAAGGAAUAAAGUCGGGUAUGGAUACCCGUUUGCAUGUACUUUAUGAAUAAGGAUCGGCUAACUCCGUGCCAGCAGCCGCGGUAAUACGGAGGAUCCGAGCGUUAUCCGGAUUUAUUGGGUUUAAAGGGAGCGUAGAUGGAUGUUUAAGUCAGUUGUGAAAGUUUGCGGCUCAACCGUAAAAUUGCAGUUGAUACUGGAUAUCUUGAGUGCAGUUGAGGCAGGCGGAAUUCGUGGUGUAGCGGUGAAAUGCUUAGAUAUCACGAAGAACUCCGAUUGCGAAGGCAGCCUGCUAAGCUGCAACUGACAUUGAGGCUCGAAAGUGUGGGUAUCAAACAGGAUUAGAUACCCUGGUAGUCCACACGGUAAACGAUGAAUACUCGCUGUUUGCGAUAUACUGCAAGCGGCCAAGCGAAAGCGUUAAGUAUUCCACCUGGGGAGUACGCCGGCAACGGUGAAACUCAAAGGAAUUGACGGGGGCCCGCACAAGCGGAGGAACAUGUGGUUUAAUUCGAUGAUACGCGAGGAACCUUACCCGGGCUUAAAUUGCAGAUGAAUUACGGUGAAAGCCGUAAGCCGCAAGGCAUCUGUGAAGGUGCUGCAUGGUUGUCGUCAGCUCGUGCCGUGAGGUGUCGGCUUAAGUGCCAUAACGAGCGCAACCCUUGUUGUCAGUUACUAACAGGUUCCGCUGAGGACUCUGACAAGACUGCCAUCGUAAGAUGUGAGGAAGGUGGGGAUGACGUCAAAUCAGCACGGCCCUUACGUCCGGGGCUACACACGUGUUACAAUGGGGGGUACAGAGGGCCGCUACCACGCGAGUGGAUGCCAAUCCCCAAAACCUCUCUCAGUUCGGACUGGAGUCUGCAACCCGACUCCACGAAGCUGGAUUCGCUAGUAAUCGCGCAUCAGCCACGGCGCGGUGAAUACGUUCCCGGGCCUUGUACACACCGCCCGUCAAGCCAUGGGAGCCGGGGGUACCUGAAGUGCGUAACCGCGAGGAGCGCCCUAGGGUAAAACUGGUGACUGGGGC